UUGGCACAAACUGUUGAUUUCUCCAAAGAAACACAUUGCAGGCAACUGUAGUACAAACCGCGUUCAUGUUGUGGCUGUAAAUCUUUAUGUGUUUUAAAUGAUCCCGCUAAUACAUUAAAUCAAUCAAUGAAUAUCCCCUUUGUUCACACACCAAAAACGACACUGACCGAAAAAUCAGCCACCAAAGCGGUGAGAAAAGACACCUGUCUGGAUGGAGGUGCUGUGACUGAUCAAUCCGAUUACUGACGCUGUCUUUACACAGAUAAAACCAUGAAUCAAGAGAAACUGGCCAAACUUCAGGCCCAGGUCCGGAUAGGUGGAAAGGGAACAGCUCGUAGGAAGAAGAAGGUGGUUCACAGAACAGCAACGGCUGACGACAAAAAACUCCAGAGUUCCUUGAAGAAACUGGCAGUGAACAACAUCGCUGGUAUUGAGGAGGUCAACAUGAUAAAGGCAGAUGGCACAGUGAUCCACUUCAACAACCCCAAGGUGCAGGCCUCGCUGUCUGCCAACACGUUUGCCAUCACAGGCCAUGCAGAGAACAAACAGCUCACAGAGAUGCUCCCGGGCAUCCUCAGCCAGCUGGGGGCAGACAGCCUCACCAGCCUCCGCAAACUGGCUGAGCAGUUCCCACGCCAAGCACUUGACAACAAAGCGACGUCAGUCAUCAAACCAGAAGAUGUUGAAGAGGAGGAUGACGAUGUUCCAGAUCUUGUAGAAAACUUUGAUGAGGCGUCAAAGAAUGAAGACAACUAAUGAAUCCAACACCAGCCCUCUACUACCCUUCCUCAGUACCGACUAUCCAGAACCAUCUAUCCAGUACCGACUAUCCGGAACCAUCUAUACAGUACCGACUAUCCAGAACCAUCUAUCCAGUACCGACUAUCCAGAACCAUCUAUCCAGUACCGACUAUCCAGAACCAUCUAUACAGUACCGACUAUCCAGUACCAUCUAUCCAGUACCGACUAUCCGGAACCAUCUAUCCAGAACCAACUAUCCAGAACCAACUAUCCAGAACCAUCUAUCCAGUACCGACUAUCCAGAACCAUCUAUCCAGUACCGACUAUCCAGAACCAUCUAUCCAGUACCGACUAUCCAGUACCAUCUAUCCAGUACCGACUAUCCAGUACCAUCUAUCCAGUACCGACUAUCCAGAACCAUCUAUCCAGUACCGACUAUCCAGUACCAUCUAUCCAGUACCGACUAUCCAGAACCAUCUAUCCAGUACCAUCUAUCCAGUACCGACUAUCCAGUACCGACUAUCCAGUACCAUCUAUCCAGAACCGACUAUCCAGAACCAUCUAUCCAGUACCGACUAUCCAGAACCAUCUAUCCAGUACCGACUAUCCAGAACCAUCUAUCCAGUACCGACUAUCCAGAACCAUCUAUCCAGUACCGACUAUCCAGAACCAUCUAUCCAGUACCGACUAUCCAGAACCCACUGGGUACCCCCAAUACCCAAUCUACUACCCAGUACCCACCCUCUAUCAUGUGGACUCAAACCAGGACCUGUUCAGAAAGAUGUAACAUGACUUACAGAACAGAUGUGAAUGUCAGAUAGAUAGAAUAGGGUGGGAAUGUCAGAUAGAUAGAAUAGGGUGGGAAUGUCAGAUAGAUAGAAUAGGGUGGGAAUGUCAGAUAGAUAGAAUAGGGUGGGAAUGUCAGAUAGAUAGAAUAGGGUGGGAAUGUCAGAUAGAUAGAAUAGGGUGGGAAUGUCAGAUAGAUAGAAUAGGGUGGGAAUGUCAGAUAGAUAGAAUAGGGUGGGAAUGUCAGAUAGAUAGAAUAGGGUGGGAAUGUCAGAUAGAUAGAAUAGGGUGGGAAUGUCAGAUAGAUAGAAUAGGGUGGGAAUGUCAGAAAGAUAGAAUAGGGUGGGAAUGUCAGAAAGAUAGAAUAGGGUGGGAAUGUCAGAAAGAUAGAAUAGGGUGGGAAUGUCAGAUAGAUAGAUAGAAUAGGGUGGGAAUGUCAGAUAGAUAGAUAGAAUAGGGUGGGAAUGUCAGAUAGAUAGAAUAGGGUGGGAAUGGUGACGGCUCUAUGUAUUAUUGAGUUUCACAUCAAGUGAAUGCACCCCAGACCACCGCUCUCUCUCAUGGCAGAACUGUUGUUGAAGGAAUGACAUCGUCCAGUAUUUUAACCUCAGACAAAUCAACCUGGUGAAGCGUCCCCAAAUGGCUCCAUAUUCACUUCAUAGUGCACUGCUUUUGACCAGGCCCCAUAGGGCUUUUAUAAAAAAGUAGUGUACAAUGUAGUUGUGACUAGUGUACCAUUUGAGAUAGUACCAGUGUACCAACCACCACCAACUGUAACACAGCAAUACAUGUCUUGUAUUUUAACAGGCUGUCAUAUCCAUCACUAUAUCCCCUGAAUGACGAGGGCACUAAGUACUCCAUCCAAAAUGGUACCCUAUCCCCUAUAUAGUGCACUACGUUUGAUUAGAGCAAAAGGGUGCCAUUUGGGAGGCACUGUACGAUCAGUACAUCUAUCAGACAUGUCUAGGUGGGCCUUACCGUAGGAUGUCAACAGGUCCCAGGCCUGCCAGACAUGAAGGCCGGGCCUUACUGUAGGAUGUCAACAGGUCCCAGGCCUGCCAGACAUGAAGGCCGGGCCUUACUGUAGGAUGUCAACAGGUCCCAGGCCUGCCAGACAUGUCUAGGUGGGUCUUACUGUAGGAUGUCAACAGGUCCCAGGCCUGCCAGACAUGUCUAGGUGGGUCUGCCAGACAUGUCUAGGUGGGUCUUACCGUAGGAUGUCAACAGGUCCCAGGCCUGCCAGACAUGUCUAGGUGGGUCUUACCGUAGGAUGUCAACAGGUCCCAGGCCUGCCAGACAUGUCUAGGUGGGUCUUACCGUAGGAUGUCAACAGGUCCCAGGCCUGCCAGACAUGUCUAGGUGGGUCUUACUGUAGGAUGUCAACAGGUCCCAGGCCUGCCAAGGUGGGCCUUACCGUAGGAUGUCAACAGGUCCCAGACCUGCCAAGGUGGGCCUUACCGUAGGAUGUCAACAGGUCCCAGGCCUGCCAAGGUGGGCCUUACCGUAGGAUGUCAACAGGUCCCAGGCCUGCCAGACAUGUCUAGUCUUAUACCAUUUUUAUUUUCCUGUUUUAUUAAAAACCAAAUAAAUCUGUGAUCAUGAAUAA